AAUGCGUAGAUAUCGGGAGGAACACCAGUGGCGAAGGCGGCCUACUGGGCACUAACUGACGCUGAGGCUCGAAAGCAUGGGUAGCAAACAGGAUUAGAUACCCUGGUAGUCCAUGCCGUAAACGAUGAUUACUAGGUGUGGGAGGAUUGACCCCUUCCGUGCCGCAGUUAACACAAUAAGUAAUCCACCUGGGGAGUACGACCGCAAGGUUGAAACUCAAAGGAACUGACGGGGGCCCGCACAAGCAGUGGAGUAUGUGGUUUAAUUCGAAGCAACGCGAAGAACCUUACCAGGUCUUGACAUCCCGUGCAUAGUCUAGAGAUAGAUGAAGUCCUUCGGGACACGGAGACAGGUGGUGCAUGGUUGUCGUCAGCUCGUGUCGUGAGAUGUUGGGUUAAGUCCCGCAACGAGCGCAACCCUUAUCGUUAGUUACUACGCAAGAGGACUCUAGCGAGACUGCCGUUGACAAAACGGAGGAAGGUGGGGAUGACGUCAAAUCAUCAUGCCCUUUAUGACCUGGGCUACACACGUACUACAAUGGCAAUUAACAAAGAGAAGCGAAACCGCGAGGUGGAGCAAACCUCAUAAAAAUUGUCUCAGUUCAGAUUGCAGGCUGCAACUCGCCUGCAUGAAGUCGGAAUUGCUAGUAAUCGCGGAUCAGCAUGCCGCGGUGAAUACGUUCCCGGGCCUUGUACACACCGCCCGUCACACCAUGAGAGCCGGGGGGACCNNNNNNNNNUAGCCUAACCGCAAGGAGGGCGCGGCCGAAGGUAAAACUGGUGAUUGGGGUAAGGUCGUAACAAGGUAACCA
rnacentral:rRNA from 1 species